CCUUCGGGUGUGAAUUAGCGGCGAACGGGUGAGGAACACGUGAGAAACCUGCCUUUCAUUCUGGGAUAACACCGGGAAACCGGCGCUAAUACCGGAUACUCCAUCUUGGCGGCAUCGCCGAGCUGGGAAAAAAUUUUGAUGAAAGAUGGUCUCGCGGCCUAUCAGCUAGUUGGUGAGGUAAUGGCUCACCAAGGCGACGACGGGUAGCCGGCCUGAGAGGGUGAACGGCCACACUGGGACUGAGACACGGCCCAGACUCC
rnacentral:rRNA from 1 species